CCAUCGGGGCGCAAGGCCGGUACCUGAGAGAAAGCGGAAGAGGCGCGCGGCUGGCAGCAGCAGGACUGGACUUUCCGCAAAGACUUCUGCUGACCAUAGCUUCUGGAAUUAGCCCUUCUGAGCCAAGAGUUCAGGAAUAUGCUCUUCCUCAUUCUCACACAAUUCCGGCCUUUCCUCCUCCCGCGCUCAGAGUCUAGGUCACAAACAGUCUUCCCUGCUUCAACUUGAGAUGUGAACCUUCAGCUCUCGGCUUCCGUUUAUCCACAUGCCUGCUGCCUGCUGCCUCUACUCUGCCAUCAUGGACUCACCUCGGGAACUGUAAGCUUCAAAUAAACACUUU